rnacentral:lncRNA from 1 species
AUCAAUCAUCAUUAAAACCCAACAGCAACUGAAAAGGCUGUAAAGGCUUUGGUUCUUCGUCAAAAUUCAAAAAGCCCUAAUCUACUUCAACCUUUUGGCAACCGCAUCGCAAGAUUCUCACUUUCGCUUUUUAUCUUCCCUGUUUUACCAUUGGUUUUUACCUUUGGGCUUUCAAGAGCCAAAGUAACCCCCACUGUGUACGUUAUGAUUGAUGGAUGGAACACCCCACG